rnacentral:rRNA from 1 species
GAUGAACGCUGGCGGCGUGCUUAACACAUGCAAGUCGAACGAUGAAGCUAGAGCUUGCUCUGGUGGAUUAGUGGCGAACGGGUGAGUAACACGUGAGUAACCUGCCCCGAACUCUGGGAUAACUGCUGGAAACGGUAGCUAAUACCGGAUAUGACCAAUGAAGGCAUCUUCUGUUGGUGGAAAGAAUUUCGGUUCGGGAUGGACUCGCGGCCUAUCAGCUUGUUGGUGAGGUAACGGCUCACCAAGGCGACGACGGGUAGCCGGCCUGAGAGGGUGAUCGGCCACACUGGGACUGAGACGCGGCCCAGACUCCUACGGGAGGCAGCAGUGGAGAAUAUUGCACAAUGGGCGCAAGCCUGGUGCAGCAACGCCGCGUGAGGGAUGACGGCCUUCGGGUUGUAAACCUCUUUUAGUAGGGAAGAAGCGAAAGUGACGGUACCUGCAGAAAAAGCACCGGCUAACUACGUGCCAGCAGCCGCCGUAA